AGAGUUUGAUCCUGGCUCAGAUUGAACGCUGGCGGAAUGCUUUACACAUGCAAGUCGAACGGUAGGGGGGGCAACCCCUUGAGAGUGGCGAACGGGUGAGUAAUAUAUCGGAACGUGCCCAGUCGUGGGGGAUAACGUAGCGAAAGUUACGCUAAUACCGCAUACGAUCUAAGGAUGAAAGCGGGGGAUCGCAAGACCUCGCGCGAUUGGAGCGGCCGAUAUCAGAUUAGGUAGUUGGUGGGGUAAAGGCUCACCAAGCCAACGAUCUGUAGCUGGUCUGAGAGGACGACCAGCCACACUGGAACUGAGACACGGUCCAGACUCCUACGGGAGGCAGCAGUGGGGAAUUUUGGACAAUGGACGCAAGUCUGAUCCAGCCAUUCCGCGUGCAGGAUGAAGGCCCUCGGGUUGUAAACUGCUUUUGUACGGAACGAAAAGGUUUCCAUUAAUACUGGGGGCUCAUGGCGGUACCGUAAGAAUAAGCACCGGCUAACUACGUGCCAGCAGCCGCGGUAAUACGUAGGGUGCAAGCGUUAAUCGGAAUUACUGGGCGUAAAGCGUGCGCAGGCGGUUAUGUAAGACAGAGGUGAAAUCCCCGGGCUCAACCUGGGAACUGCCUUUGUGACUGCAUAGCUAGAGUACGGUAGAGGGGGAUGGAAUUCCGCGUGUAGCAGUGAAAUGCGUAGAUAUGCGGAGGAACACCGAUGGCGAAGGCAAU
rnacentral:rRNA from 1 species